ACUUAUGUGGCCUAAGUGGUUAAAGCGUCCGCAUCGAAUGCGGCAGAUCGCAAGUUCGAACCCUGGCAGCGUCAUAAGAA